AUUGAACGCUGGCGGCAGGCUUAACACAUGCAAGUCGAGCGGGGACUUCGGUCCUAGCGGCGAACGGGUGAGGAAUGCUUGGGAAUCUGCCCAGUAGCGGGGGAUAACGUUUCGAAAGGAACGCUAAUACCGCAUACGCCCUACGGGGGAAAGGGGGGGCUCUUCGGACCUCGCGCUAACAGAUGAGCCUAGGUCGGAUUAGCUAGUUGGUGGGGUAAUGGCCCACCAAGGCGACGAUCCGUAACUGGUCUGAGAGGAUGAUCAGUCACACUGGAACUGAGACACGGUCCAGACUCCUACGGGAGGCAGCAGUGGGGAAUAUUGGACAAUGGGCGAAAGCCUGAUCCAGCCAUGCCGCGUGUGUGAAGAAGGUCUUCGGAUUGUAAAGCACUUUAAGUCGGGAGGAAGGGCUGUAGGCUAAUACCUUGCAGUUUUGACGUUACCGACAGAAUAAGCACCGGCUAACUUCGUGCCAGCCGCCGCCGUAAUAC
rnacentral:rRNA from 1 species